GCAAGUCGAACGCGAAAGUUACUUCGGUAACAAGUAGAGUGGCGGACGGGUGAGUAACGCGUAGGAAUCUACCUAGAUGUGGGGGAUAACAUGGAGAAAUCCAUGCUAAUACCGCAUACGCCCCACGGGGCAAAGAGGGCCUCUUCUUGAAAGCUCUUGCAUUUAGAUGAGCCUGCGUCGGAUUAGCUUGUUGGCGGGGUAAUGGCCCACCAAGGCGACGAUCCGUAGCUGGUCUGAGAGGAUGAUC
rnacentral:rRNA from 1 species